GAUGAACGCUGGCGGCGUGCCUAACACAUGCAAGUCGAGCGAACCCUUUGGGGUGAGCGGCGGACGGGUGAGUAACGCGUGGGUAACCUGCCCUAUACACACGGAUAACGUACCGAAAGGUACGCCAAUACGGGAUAAAGUUGUUGGAUGGCAUCUUCUAACAAUCAAAGCUCCGGCGGUAUAGGAUGGACCCGCGUCUGAUUAGCUAGUUGGUGAGGUAAUGGCUCACCAAGGCGACGAUCAGUAGCCGACCUGAGAGGGUGAUCGGCCACACUGGAACUGAGACACGGUCCAGACUCCUACGGGAGGCAGCAGUGGGGAAUAUUGCACAAUGGGCGAAAGCCUGAUGCAGCAACGCCGCGUGAGCGAUGAAGGUCUUCGGAUCGUAAAGCUCUGUCCUCAAGGAAGAUAAUGACGGUACUUGAGGAGGAAGCCCCGGCUAACUACGUGCCAGCCGCCGCUGUAA
rnacentral:rRNA from 1 species